rnacentral:rRNA from 1 species
UGAAUACGAGACGCUAAGGCGUCGAAGUAGUGUAUGUCAUACUUCCAAGAAAAGCUUGCACUGUCAUAAGUAAAAAAUGCCUGUACCAUAACCGACACAGGUGGGUAGGUAGAGUAUACUAAGGGGCGCGAGAUAACUCUCUCUAAGGAACUCGGCAAAAUAACUCCGUAACUUCGGGAGAAGGAGUACCUUAUUCUAUAAGGUUGCAAUAACAAGAUCCAAGCAACUGUUUAUCAAAAACACAGGUCUCCGCUAAGUCGUAAGACGAUGUAUGGGGGCUGACGCCUGCCCAGUGCCAGAAGGUUAAAGAAGUCGGUUAGCAUUAGCGAAGCUGGUAACUGAAGCCCUGGUGAACGGCGGCCGUAACAAUAACGGUCCUAAGGUAGCGAAAUUCCUUGUCGGGUAAGUUCCGACCCGCACGAAAGGCGUAAUGAUUUGGAUACUGUCUCGGAGAGGGGCUCGGUGAAAUAGACUUGUCUGUGAAGAUGCGGACUACCUGCACCAGGACAGAAAGACCCUAUGAAGCUUUACUGUAACUUGAAAUUGAAAUUGGACUUUAUUCGCGCAGUAUAGGUGGGAGGUGUUGAUUAUAAUCUUGCGGGAUUAUUGGAGCCAUCAGUGAGAUACCACUCUUGUAAUGUUAGAUUUCUAACUUUGAAUCAUUAUCUGGUCAAAGGACAGUUUCAGGCGGGCAGUUUGACUGGGCGGUCGCCUCCCAAACGGUAACGGAGGCGUACAAAGGUUUCCUCUGAACGGGUAGAAAUCGUAUCUAGAGUGUAAAGGCAUAAGGAAGCUUGACUGUGAGACCUACAAGUCGAACAGGGACGAAAGUCGGUCUUAGUGAUCUGACGGUACUGAGUGGAAAGGCCGUCACUCAACGGAUAAAAGUUACUCUAGGAUAACAGGCUGAUCUCCCCCAAGAGUUCACAUCGACGGGGAGGUUUGGCACCUCGAUGUCGGCUCAUCGCAUCCUGGGGCGGUAGUACGUCCCAAGGGUUGGGCUGUUCGCCCAUGAAAGCGGUACGCGAGCUGGGUUCAGAACGUCGUGAGACAGUUCGGUCCAUAUCCGGUGUAGGCGUUAGAAUAUUGAGAGGAGCCUUCUUUAGUACGAGAGGACCGAGAAGGACAUACCUCUGGUGUACCAGUUAUCGUGCCAACGGUAAACGCUGGGUAGCUAUGUAUGGAGUGGAUAACCGCUGAAAGCAUCUAAGUGGGAAGCCCACCUCAAGAUAAGUAUUCUCAUCA